UUAUAUAUAUAUUUUUUUAAAUUUUUUUUUUUACUUCUUUCUGUUUCUUUUUCCUUUUUUUUCUGAUUUGUAUAUUCAUGUCCUUAAAGAAAUAAGUUCAGUCCAAGGUUUGGGUGCUGAGUUAGAGAAGAAUAACCUUGAUAAGACCAUUUCAUCAUCAUCCUCCUCAUCAUCUUCCUCUGAUUUUCAUGAUCUAGAAAGUGGCCAUGGUGUUAAUCAAAAUAAUAAAAGUAGUCG
rnacentral:ribozyme from 13 species